AAUCCAUAGGUUAAUGAGGCGAACCGGGGGAACUGAAACAUCUAAGUACCCCGAGGAAAAGAAAUCAACCGAGAUUCCCCCAGUAGCGGCGAGCGAACGGGGAGGAGCCCAGAGCCUGAAUCAGCAUGUGUGUUAGUGGAAGCGUCUGGAAAGGCGCGCGAUACAGGGUGACAGCCCCGUACACAAAAGCGCAUGUGCUGUGAGCUCGAUGAGUAGGGCGGGACACGUGGUAUCCUGUCUGAAUAUGGGGGGACCAUCCUCCAAGGCUAAAUACUCCUGACUGACCGAUAGUGAACCAGUACCGUGAGGGAAAGGCGAAAAGAACCCCGGCGAGGGGAGUGAAAAAGAACCUGAAACCGUGUACGUACAAGCAGUGGGAGCACAGGUUUACCUGUGUGACUGCGUACCUUUUGUAUAAUGGGUCAGCGACUUAUAUUCUGUAGCAAGGUUAACCGAAUAGGGGAGCCGGAGGGAAACCGAGUCUUAAUUGGGCGUUAAGUUGCAGGGUAUAGACCCGAAACCCGGUGAUCUAGCCAUGGGCAGGUUGAAGGUUGGGUAACACUAACUGGAGGACCGAACCGACUAAUGUUGAAAAAUUAGCGGAUGACCUGUGGCUGGGGGUGAAAGGCCAAUCAAACCGGGAGAUAGCUGGUUCUCCCCGAAAGCUAUUUAGGUAGCGCCUCGUGAAUUCAUCUCCGGGGGUAGAGCACUGUUUCGGCUAGGGGGCCAUCCCGGCUUACCAACCCGAUGCAAACUGCGAAUACCGGAGAAUGUUAUCACGGGAGACACACGGCGGGUGCUAACGUCCGUCGUGAAGAGGGAAACAACCCAGACCGCCAGCUAAGGUCCCAAAGUCAUGGUUAAGUGGGAAACGAUGUGGGAAGGCCCAGACAGCCAGGAUGUUGGCUUAGAAGCAGCCAUCAUUUAAAGAAAGCGUAAUAGCUCACUGGUCGAGUCGGCCUGCGCGGAAGAUGUAACGGGGCUAAACCAUGCACCGAAGCUGCGGCAGCGAACGUAUCACUUAAAGCGAUUCAGCGGGUUACGAUUGACGGAGCGAAGCGACGUCAAAGCGUAUACAAAGUCGAGUCGGUUUAAGGAUACGUUCGUUGGGUAGGGGAGCGUUCUGUAAGCCUGCGAAGGUGGCCUGUGAGGGUUGCUGGAGGUAUCAGAAGUGCGAAUGCUGACAUAAGUAACGAUAAAGCGGGUGAAAAGCCCGCUCGCCGGAAGACCAAGGGUUCCUGUCCAACGUUAAUCGGGGCAGGGUGAGUCGACCCCUAAGGCGAGGCCGAAAGGCGUAGUCGAUGGGAAACGGGUUAAUAUUCCCGUACUUGGUGUUACUGCGAAGGGGGGACGGAGAAGGCUAUGUUGGCCGGGCGACGGUUGUCCCGGUUUAAGCGUGUAGGUGUGUGUUCCAGGUAAAUCCGGUUCACUUUAACACUGAGGCGUGACGACGAGGCACUACGGUGCUGAAGCAACAAAUGCCCUGCUUCCAGGAAAAGCCUCUAAGCAUCAGGUAACAUCAAAUCGUACCCCAAACCGACACAGGUGGUCAGGUAGAGAAUACCAAGGCGCUUGAGAGAACUCGGGUGAAGGAACUAGGCAAAAUGGUGCCGUAACUUCGGGAGAAGGCACGCUGACACGUAGGUGAAGUGAUUUACUCAUGGAGCUGAAGUCAGUCGAAGAUACCAGCUGGCUGCAACUGUUUAUUAAAAACACAGCACUGUGCAAACACGAAAGUGGACGUAUACGGUGUGACGCCUGCCCGGUGCCGGAAGGUUAAUUGAUGGGGUCAGCGCAAGCGAAGCUCCUGAUCGAAGCCCCGGUAAACGGCGGCCGUAACUAUAACGGUCCUAAGGUAGCGAAAUUCCUUGUCGGGUAAGUUCCGACCUGCACGAAUGGCGUAAUGAUGGCCAGGCUGUCUCCACCCGAGACUCAGUGAAAUUGAACUCGCUGUGAAGAUGCAGUGUACCCGCGGCAAGACGGAAAGACCCCGUGAACCUUUACUAUAGCUUGACACUGAACAUUGAGCCUUGAUGUGUAGGAUAGGUGGGAGGCUUUGAAGUGUGGACGCCAGUCUGCAUGGAGCCGACCUUGAAAUACCACCCUUUAAUGUUUGAUGUUCUAACGUGGACCCGUAAUCCGGGUUGCGGACAGUGUCUGGUGGGUAGUUUGACUGGGGCGGUCUCCUCCUAAAGAGUAACGGAGGAGCACGAAGGUUGGCUAAUCCUGGUCGGACAUCAGGAGGUUAGUGCAAUGGCAUAAGCCAGCUUGACUGCGAGCGUGACGGCGCGAGCAGGUGCGAAAGCAGGUCAUAGUGAUCCGGUGGUUCUGAAUGGAAGGGCCAUCGCUCAACGGAUAAAAGGUACUCCGGGGAUAACAGGCUGAUACCGCCCAAGAGUUCAUAUCGACGGCGGUGUUUGGCACCUCGAUGUCGGCUCAUCACAUCCUGGGGCUGAAGUAGGUCCCAAGGGUAUGGCUGUUCGCCAUUUAAAGUGGUACGCGAGCUGGGUUUAGAACGUCGUGAGACAGUUCGGUCCCUAUCUGCCGUGGGCGCUGGAGAACUGAGGGGGGCUGCUCCUAGUACGAGAGGACCGGAGUGGACGCAUCACUGGUGUUCGGGUUGUCAUGCCAAUGGCACUGCCCGGUAGCUAAAUGCGGAAGAGAUAAGUGCUGAAAGCAUCUAAGCACGAAACUUGCCCCGA
rnacentral:rRNA from 1 species